AAUAGUUUAAGGGCCGCGGUAUUUUAACUGUGCAAAGGUAGCGUAAUCAUUAGGUUUUUAAUUAAGAUCUUGUAUGAAUGGUUGGACAAAAGUAAAACUGUCUCUGUGUUAAUUUUGAAUUUAACUUUUGAGUGAAAAGGCUUAAAUAUUUUAGAGGGACGAUAAGACCCUAUAAAACUUUAUGUUGUAAUUGUAUUUAAUUGAAUUUAUAAAUAAAAAUUUAAUUUUAUUGUGCAUUGUGUUGGGGAGACAAAGGUAAAAAGAUUUUUAACUGCUUUAUAUUUAAACAAAUAUUUAUGAAUAUUUAAAAGAUCCUUUUUUAAGAGUAAAAGAUUAAGUUACUUUAGGGAUAACAGCGUUAUUUUUUUUGAGAGUUCUUAUCGAAAAAAGAGUUUGCGACCUCGAUGUUGAAUUAAAAUAUCUCUGUAGUGCAGAAG
rnacentral:rRNA from 1 species